CCAUCGGAUCGAGGACGUACAACAGAGAUCGGAGGUGGGAAUAUGGCCAUCCACUUAAUAAUUCUUUUGCACAUAACCCCCUGUGCUUAUGUUCUGUCUUGUGAAAGAUUUAGCGAACUAGAAAGAAAAGAAACAAGCAAAACGAAUCUCGACCCAGGCGAGGGCGAGACUUGGCGGCGGCUACUGGACUGCGACUUGGAGGCCGGCGCCGCACCCCUAGCGACGGCGACUUGGAGGCCACGGUGGAGCAACGACGCGACCGCGAUGCCCCCAGGCGAUCUGGCGCAUGCUGGCGGUAUCCCCACCCAACGGCGACGAGACGGCCACCGAGAUAACCCUGGCCAAGGCGACGUCCACGACCCAGCGACCUGGCGCUGGCCCAGGCGAGGGAGACCCAGUGGCGGCGGCCGGCGGCGCUGCCUCCAUGCGACGGCGACCCGGCAACUUGCUUGCCCUCUGGAGCUGUUGUUUUGCUGUAGAUUAAAAUCGUUGGUGUUCUUGCUGUGUAGCUGACUGAAUGGUGAUGUACAGAUAAGAUAAAUCUUUGUUGUUUUACUUCACCUGAAGUGAAAGUGAAAGUGGGUAUUCAAAAAACAC
rnacentral:lncRNA from 1 species